UUGCAGCUCACCCUGAUUAGGCUUUGAGGGACUGUCUCUGCAAAAGCAGAGGAAGGAAGGACCGUGCAGCUGUGUAGAGUUGGAAUUGAUCCCUAAGGCUGGACAUGGGGCGGGAAAGCCCCAAGGCACUAAGACAAAGGGGGAAGGUAUGAAUGCCACGGACAUAUGUGGAGAUCAGAAGACAGCGUUCACGAGUCCUUCAAAAACAGGGCACUAGAAGAGUGUUCAACAUAGGGCUAAAUGGAGCUGUCACACUACAGAGCUAUACCCCAGCCCACCUUAAGACUUUUAAUCCAGAAGGUUCUGAGGGGAAUUUCCCAACAAGGAAGCCAGCGACAAACAGGGCUGGCUGAAGUGCAAGCUGAAGGAGCAGAAGAGCAGGUUCUGUUCUGAGCCCCGGAACCAGCAUCAAGUUCUGGUGCUGCUGGCAAAGCUGUGACCUUGAAGCCAUUUAUUUCUCCAGGAG
rnacentral:lncRNA from 1 species